rnacentral:rRNA from 1 species
UCGAGGAUCUUCGGCAAUGAGCGCAAGCCUGACCGAGCGACGCCGCGUGGGCGAUGAAGGCCUUCGGGUUGUAAAGCCCUGUCGAGGGGGAGAAAAGGGUAAAACCUUGAUCUAUCCCUGGAGGAAGCACGGGCUAAGUUCGUGCCAGCAGCCGCGGUAAGACGAACCGUGCGAACGUUAUUCGGAAUCACUGGGCUUAAAGGGCGCGUAGGCGGGUUGCCAAGUCUGUGGUGAAAUCCUCCAGCUCAACCGGAGAACGGCCGUGGAUACUGGCGACCUCGAGGGGGGUAGGGGCUUGCGGAACUGUGCGUGGAGCGGUGAAAUGCGUUGAUAUGCACAGGAACUCCGGUGGCGAAGGCGGCGAGCUGGACCCUUUCUGACGCUGAGGCGCGAAAGCCAGGGGAGCGAACGGGAUUAGAUACCCCCGUAGUCC